rnacentral:lncRNA from 1 species
GCCCAAAGCGAGGGGGAGUCUCUACCUGGCGCCCAGGCGGUCACGCUGAGCGCCAAGAGCGAUUAGGGGCAAACAAGUCAGCAAUGAAAUUGGUCGCUGAACGGUGGCACGGCUUGGAGGCAAACCGCUGAGCGAUGCAUUUAGCCGCUCAGCGGUGAUCUGUUUUUAUGGGCUUGGAGUUUGAUAGAUUCUGUUAUCUUUUUGGCCUGUAUAUAGCCUCAGUGCUACUUGAAA